GCCAUUUCUUGGACUGCUCCCACGGCAUAUGGAGGCUCCCAGCCUAGGAGUCGAAUCAGAGCUGUAGCCAUUGGCCUAUGCCAGAGCCACAGCCACGUGGGAUCCGAGCCGUGACUGCAACCUACACCACAGCUCACAGCAACGCCAGAUCCUUAACCCAAUGAGCAAGGGCAGGGAUUGAACCUGCAACCUCAUGGUUCCUAGUCGGAUUCGUUAGCCACUGAGGCAUGAUGGGAACUCCCAGGCUCUUUCAAUAUAAUCAAGCAUUCAGAAUAUUCACCGUCUGCUUUGGUGGAGUUUUCGACAAUAAUAAGGGUAGAGUCAGAAAGGCACACGUACAGGCAUCUCCAUUUCCUCUUCAUAGUCUCAUCUCCUCAGUAUCGCCUCUGCGUCCAUGGGCCUCACUAGACUGUGGACGCGGAUGGACCAUGUAUCAUCUGCGGCAUCUCCCAUUUCCUGCUCAUGCACCUACCUGCUCUGCAGGACGUCUGGCCUCCUUGACAGUCUCCCCCAAUCCUUUUAUGUCUGGAUGCCCAGGGACGUCUUCUAUGUACUGAUGCGUUAGUCCAUCUGCUGGUUAUCAUGGAGCGUCGUCUCCAUGUCACUUCCUUGCUUGCUCACAUCUUCAUAAAACCCUUGAGAGGGCCUCGGCCUCGCUAAUCAUGACUGCAGUUCCGUGUGUCUAGAGAUCUCAUUCAGAGCUCUCUCUGUUGCCAACUGUUGAACAGAAGGGAAGAUGUUCCUUCAGAUCACACACUGUAGCUGGGGUCUUAAGCCAUGCAGCCCAUGUACUUUUUCAUAUUAUGCCAAAGUUUAUGGCGUAGAACCUGGGGAAUUUGUCCUGAAGCAGGUGCAUAGAAUACUGUUCUCGAUUCCUGUUUUUUCUGUCUGUCCGUUCCAUUUCCCCAUCUAAUGCAGAACAGGGCCACACAACAUGAUGCUAAUACCCUCAUCCUUGAGCCAGGAAACAAAAGUGUUCACUCACAUGGCUUGGUGGGCGCUCAUGGAACUUCCACGUCAUCAUGUAUACCUGGUUAUGUGUCUCAUCCUUUGAAGUUCUUGAGGACUCCCAUAGAGGUCAGUGAGGGUCCAGAUAAAUUACUACUUAAUAAAAAUGACAGUAACCUUGAAGUAGUUACAUGAUUGUCUAUUUCACCUUCGAAUCUCUCCCUUUGAAAAUUAUUUAUUUUGAAUAUAACCACGCCUUACUAUUUAAAAUCUUUGUGUAUAUAUGUAUAUAUCCAGUAUGUAAAUGUGAAUAUAAAUCACAUACCUGGUAGCAUAAGGUGUGUGUGUGUAUGACACAAAGUAGCAUGAUACGUAUAUGAGUAAGUCGAUGUUCCGAUCCGUGUGAUUGAUACACAUGCAUCAGAUGUGUAAGCAUCAAAUGGGGUAGUGUAAUGUAUGUGUGUGUACGUGUAUACAGGAAUCCCACACGGUAAUAUAAUGUGUUUGCAUGUGUGUGUGAAUCAGACAGAGAGUACUGUAAUAUGUGUAAGAAUGGGGGACAGACAAGCAUGGCAUCUGUGUGUGCAUAUGUGUGUUUGCAUAUGAUUCACACACAUAGUAGUGUAAGGUAAGUGUGUGUGUGUGUGUAUGAAUCAGAGUAGUGUAAUUGGAAAAACGCAGGGCAAAUAAAACUAUCUGAAAUGAUUCUGAAAUGAUCAUACCUGCAUGACAUUGUGUAAAGCACAUAACCUUUCGAGGCACCAUUAGUAAAUUGUGAGAUUUUUACUCAGUCUUGCUAUGGUCCUUCCUGCUUCUGUGGCUAGCCUGUUCCAUCACUGAGUGGGUUAUUAUAUCUGUAAUGAUAUUUAUAACUGACCUUUCUGUAUUCAGAAUCCGUGUUGUAUCUUUGUUAGCUACUGUGGGAGAGAGACACAGUAACUCUAAUUUCAUAGUUAUUUUUCUGAACUCUUCCCAAACUGACCCCUGGUUUUUAUAAUGAGAGGAAGGCAACACUUCCCUGGAUGUCCUUGAGAAACCACAUUUUCUAAAUCCUUGCAUCAACAAAAAAUAUCACUGCAGUCUUCACCCAUCUUGUUAAGGCUACAUGGCCCUGUAAUACCUAAUGAUUUGAGUGGGAAAUCCUUGAAGUCAGUGUUUAGGCAGUGCCUAGGUAGUAGUCCCUGCCGCAAGCUCCAUACUUGGCAUAUAACUGUGGAAAGAACAAAUGGUUGUAUGAGAAGAUGCAUUUUAAUAAUUCACUGUCAUCUGUGUGCCCAGGUGUUUGCUGAAGAUUUCUUUGCGAUGUUGUAGUUGGAGCUGGUGGGGAGAGACGGUUUCUUACCCUGGUGGUUGCGAGAUGGCAAGUGCUAUUUUGAUGCUGUUUGUAACUGUGAUAGAGAAGCUGAGGGGUGGUGGGAAUAGAAUGUUAGUGCGUUUCUAUCUUUGGGGAACAGUUGCUGCACCCCUUUUGGAGGAACCAUCUUAAACCAGUGAACCACAUUAUUUCAUUAGCUGUGUGUCUGUAGAAUCGUAUGGGGGCUUUCCCUCUGGGCAUAAAUCUUGUGUCCAUAGGGCACUGAAGCAGUUAAUCUAAAUGCUCUCUUUUGGACUCAAAGUGCAGUGCGGACAGAGCCCUGAGUUAUGAUGCUGGAACGUCAGAAGGUCCUGCUCUACUCAUGGAAUAUUCUUACUAGCUUGUGGUCACUGCAGUGGGAAGCGAAAAACUCUGUGUGGGGAAAUUAUAACCAUUAAAAGAAAAUUUGGUAAUCAAACAUGAAAGAACACCUCUUUCACUCAUGAAAUGCCUUUACUUUUUUUGUGUGUUUGUUUUUGUUUUUUUAAUUUCAAAAUCCAUUUGAGCAUUCCUCACUAAUAAAGCUUGCUGCGAUGGCGAAAAACGGCUUUCAGAGGCCCUUAGUCAGCUUAGGCUGAUUAGGUGUAGUGGUAAUUAAUUCUUACUUUGAUACCUCGUUGGCCUUCUUACUUGCGGAAAAGGAGUAAACAUGAGAAAUAGGAUUUUAAAAGAUGUGGGUGGUUAUAAGCUAUGCCGCAUGUUCUUCAGAAAGAUAUGUGGCCCUAAAAUUAAUGCGAUGAGAACUUGUUGUAUGAAGUUGGUUUACCCAGCGGGUUUUAAAAAUGUUUUAAUUGGAAUUCCUGUCUUGGCUCAGUGGAAACGAAUGUGACUAGCAUUCACGAGGACGCAGGUUCGAUCCCUGGCCUCGCUUAGUGGGUUAAGGAUCUAGUGUUGCCAUGAGCUGUGGUGUAGGUCACAGACUCGGCUUGGACCUGGCGUUGCUGUGGCUGUGGUGUAGGCCAGCAGCCACAGCUCCUAUUCGACCCCUAGCCUGGGAACCUCCGAAUGCUGCAGGUGUGGCCCUACAAAGACAAAAAAAAAAACCUUUUCAUUAAACAUAUUUAUACAUUUUUUAAGUUGAUUUUUAUUUUAUGUUGGCUUAUGAAAUCUACCAUGUUGUCUGUACAGCAGAAAUUGACAAAACAUUGUAAAUCAACUCAAACAGAAAAAAGAAAAAA
ensembl:lncRNA